UUUGGAUCAAUGAUGUUAUUAUUAUACUGCGUUAUCUAUCUGCAACUCCCUAAAAGGAAUUGAAGAUACUUGUUGUUGGCUGAGAUCCAAA
rfam:Citrus sinensis cultivar Ridge Pineapple sweet orange scaffold00083_contig_64, whole genome shotgun sequence.